GCAACACAAAAGAACCCUCUAUUCCUUUCUCCAUCAAUUGUGGAGGGGGGAAAUUCAAAGGAGAAAACAUGUUAUUAAUACUAGAGGCUGGUGCAGGCUUGAACUCAUAAGGUCCUUCCUUCGCUCCCCACACCUGAUUUCCAUCAUCAUCGUAACCCCUAUCCCAGGUAUGUAUUUCACUGUUCUUUAAAAUUGCAAGUUCUGAAGUGCAGUAGGUUGCUCCAUUCUGUAGUGUGAUAGAUUAGUAACGACUACAAUAACAUUUGUUCCCAUCUCUGGAAAACCAAAUAUCUUCAAUAUACAAUUCCUCAGAUAAACGCAGAAAACACAUAAGGUUUGGGGAAACUAAAAAUUGAAUAUUGACAAGAAGGAUGAAAAGCAAAUACCCAUGAAUUUGGGAAUCCUCCAGGGGGUGUAGAACCUUCAUACAAGCAGCGUUUUCCACGGUCACAGCGUUUAAG
rnacentral:misc_RNA from 1 species